rnacentral:lncRNA from 1 species
GAAGGCAGCUGUCUGCAAGUACAGGGAGCAGCUAUUAAGGUGAAACCAAAGGGUCCUCAGGACGCCUGUUGUCACUGGACUGAGCCUGGCUCUCCAGAGCCUCGAGGCACUAUUGGGUGCAGGAGGGCAUCCAGCCAUGGGGACAGAGAGCGGUAGGGUUGGUGGCAGUGAGGACCUCAGUGG